CAUAGUGCGACCACACGUAACCGCAACACGAAAUGCGGUUGGGUGACACUGCAACUCCGACAUGCGGCUGCAGGAAACGCCGUUCGAAAUGUGGCAUGCCUUAACCGCAACUCGAAGUGCGGUUAAGCGCAAACGUCGUUCGAAAUGCGGCAUGACUGAACGCAACUCGUAAAUGUGUUUUUACUCACCUGUUUUGAGCUUUUCUUCUUCUUCCUCGCACCAGCAACCGCUACUCUUCUUCUUCCUCGCACCAGCAACCACCACUCCGAUC
rnacentral:lncRNA from 1 species